rnacentral:rRNA from 1 species
CUCUGUGACUCCUACGGGAGGCAGCAGUGGGAAUAUUGCACAAUGGGGGAAACCCUGAUGCAGCCAUGCCGCGUGUGUGAAGAAGGCCUUCGGGUUGUAAAGCACUUUCAGUAGGGAGGAAGGUAGUGUAGUUAACACCUGCAUUAUUUGACGUUACCUACAGAAGAAGCACCGGCUAACUCCGUGCCAGCAGCCGCGGUAAUACGGAGGGUGCGAGCGUUAAUCGGAAUUACUGGGCGUAAAGCGCAUGCAGGCGGCCUGUUAAGUCAGAUGUGAAAGCCCGGGGCUUAACCUCGGAAUUGCAUUUUGAAACUGGCAGGCUAGAGUCUUGUAGAGGGGGUAGAAUUUCAGGUGUAGCGGUGAAAUGCGUAGAGAUCUGAAGGAAUACCAGUGGCGAAGGCGGCCCCCUGGACAAAGACUGACGCUCAGAUGCGAAAGCGUGGGGAGCAAACAGGAUUAGAUACCCUGGUAG